rnacentral:rRNA from 1 species
CCUACGGGUGGCUGCAGUGAGGAAUAUUGGUCAAUGGUCGGGAGACUGAACCAGCCAAGCCGCGUGAGGGAUGAAGGUACAGAGUAUCGUAAACCUCUUUUGUCAGGGAACAAAGGCGGGGACGUGUCCCCGGAUGAGUGUACCUGAAGAAAAAGCAUCGGCUAACUCCGUGCCAGCAGCCGCGGUAAUACGUAGGGGGCAAGCGUUAUCCGGAAUUACUGGGGGUAAAGGGAGCGUAGACGGUUAAGUAAGUCUGGAGUGAAAGGCCGGGGCCCAACCCCGGGACUGCUCUGGAAACUAUUGAACUUGCGUGCAGUAGAGGUAAGCGGCAUUCCUCGUGUAGCGGUGAAAUGCGUAGAUAUUAGGAGGAACACCAGUGGCGAAGGCGGCUUACUGGACUGUAACUGACGUUGAGGCUCGACAGCGUGGGGAGCAAACAGGAUUAGAUACCCCAGUAGUC